rnacentral:rRNA from 1 species
AGCGAACGCUGGCGGCAGGCUUAACACAUGCAAGUCGAGCGGGUGUAGCAAUACAUCAGCGGCAGACGGGUGAGUAACGCGUGGGAACGUACCUUUUGGUUCGGAACAACCCAGGGAAACUUGGGCUAAUACCGGAUAAGCCCUUACGGGGAAAGAUUUAUCGCCGAAAGAUCGGCCCGCGUCUGAUUAGCUAGUUGGUGAGGUAAUGGCUCACCAAGGCGACGAUCAGUAGCUGGUCUGAGAGGAUGAUCAGCCACAUUGGGACUGAGACACGGCCCAAACUCCUACGGGAGGCAGCAGUGGGGAAUAUUGGACAAUGGGGGCAACCCUGAUCCAGCCAUGCCGCGUGAGUGAUGAAGGCCCUAGGGCUGUAAAGCUCUUUUGUGCGGGAAGAUAAUGACGGUACCGCAAGAAUAAGCCCCGGCUAACUUCGUGCCAGCAGCCGCGGUAAGAC